CGACUAGAGAGUAUAGAUGAAGCCUUCAAUGAUCAACUCGAAAAGGAAAGGGUGAGGAUGGUUUUAAAUAAAGAAGAGUAUGGAUCUGUUUUUGGCAACACAAAUACAGAAACAGUAAUUUCAGAGUCACCACAAGGCUCAGGCAGUGACUCAAACAUCACCUCCAGGUCCUCCACCAAACGUGCAGACGCAGAAGCAGACCUUGCAGCCAAAUUAGAACAGGCAAAGGCUGUGCAACAAAUACAAGCCCAACAAGCCAAGUUAAAUAAAAUGGAGAGUGAAUGGAAACUUAAAGAAUCACAAAUGCUAUCAGAAAUUAGGCAAAGGGAGGCAGAAAUGAAAUCAAAACUAGAAGAUGAGCAACUAAGGUUACGACAAAUGCAAGCAGAAAAUUAGGUUAAGGUAUCAGCAGCGAGAGUAAGAGUAUACAACAUUUUUGAUGGUGUUGAGAAUAACGAAGAAGAGUCUGACUACAAAAUGCCACCUAGUUGCCAAAAUGUUGAAAUAGAGACCCCACUAAACCCGCAAGCUGCAGAAUUUCAGCCUCAUCAUGCAACAUUGGAAGCCCAAUCAACUCAGGAUGCAGUCAGCUUGGCCCAGGCAAUUGCAAGCUCACUCACCUUAAACCGUCUGCCUGUUCGAGAACCAACAGUCUUCACUGGGGACCCUUUAAAGUUUUUAGAUUGGAAGUUAUCUUUCACGACUCUCAUUGACCAGAAGCCUUUGCCAGUUAGUGAAAAAAUGCUUUACUUAAAAAGUUAUCUUGCAGGUGAAGCACAAAAGGCUGUGAAGGGAUUUUUCUACCGAAACACGGAAGAUGCAUAUAAUGGUGCCUGGACAGUCCUGCAAGACAGGUAUGGAAGUCCAUUCAUUAUCCAAAGGGCAUUUAGAGACAAGCUCACAAAGUGGCCCAUAAUAGCAGCAAAUGACCCACUUGCACUCAGGGAUUGUGCAGACUUCCUCCAAGGCUGUGCUGAGGCUAUACCCCAUGUUAAGGGUCUGGCCAUCCUAAAUGAUUGUGAGGAAAAUCACAAACUCCUCAGAAAACUCCCAGAGUGGUUGGUCCACAGAUGGAGCCAAAUCAUUGUGAAGGAAUUAGACAAACAUGGAGACUAUCCAAGCUUUGCACGGUUUACAGAGUUCAUGCAGAGAGAAGCACGGAUAGCUUGUAACCCUAUUUCCUCCCCACUCUUGAUGAACACUAGAACUACAGAUGAGAGAGUUCCAAAAAGAGCCAAAGCAUUCAGAACAAGUGUUCAACUGGGAAACUCCACCUCUAAGUUACCAGAACCCUCAAACUCAAGGUCAAAACCACCCUGCUUAGUCUGCCAGGAUGAGACACAUGGUGUUGCUAGGUGCCCUACAUUUGCAGCAAAGACUACGGAUGAAAAGAAAAAUUUCAUUCACGAAAAUCACCUUUGCUUUGGGUGUUUAAGGAAGGGACACAACACCAAGGACUGUAAAAGGCGACACACCUGCAACACGUGCGGUCGACGUCACCUAACAUGCUUGCAUAGAGAAAACAAUGGGUCUGUAGAACCAACAAGUAGCAGUUCUGUUGUUGCAAGAGAUAAUUCAAGCAAGGAGAUUCACAAGGUUAUGGCCCAUGCAAUCACACAGCACAGUUCUGCCACCUCAAGUAUUGUCCCUGUCUUUGUGUCAUCAGCAGCGGAACCUCAGAGAGAAAUUCUAACUUACGCCCUGCUCGACACACAGAGUGAUUCAACUUUCAUCUUAGAGGAUCUAGUGGAAGAACUAAAUGUAGACACUCAAGCAGUGCAGCUAAGACUCAGCACAAUGACAGCUGCCGACACAGUCAUCACAAGUAAAAUUGCUUGCGGUCUGCAAAUUCGGGGAUUCAACACAGGAACGUCCAUCCAACUACAGCAAGCCUACACGCGAGACUUCAUUCCUGUUGAUAAGUCUCACAUUCCUACAACGAAG
ensembl:lncRNA